rnacentral:sRNA from 1 species
GCUGGGCAUGAUGGCUCAUGCCUGUAAUCCCAGCAGCUUGGGAGGCUGAGGCAGGAGGAUCAUGAGUUCAUAAACCAGCCUCAGCAACUUAGCAAGGCCCUAAUCAACUCUGUAGACCCUGUCUCUA